UCAGCAUGGGUUGUCCGGGCGGGAUAAAACCGGGGGUUGUUACCCCGGCUAUGUCGCCUGGCCGACCGAGGAACGAAGGGCGCUCUUUGAGUCCUCCGGGAACUGCGCCCUCAAGAUGCUGGCGGAAAGGUUCUAAUCGGCCCGUCUUGAAACACGGACCAAGGAGUCUAACAUGCAUGCGAGCUGGUGGGUGGCAAACCCAUGAAGCGCAAGUAACCUGACUGGUGGGACGGCCUGUGCCUGCACCAUCGACCCCGCUUGAUGUUUUCAGAAGGCUGGGAGUACGAGCAUGCACGUUGGGACCCGAAAGAUGGUGAACUAUGCCUGAGCAGGGCGAAGCCAGAGGAAACUCUGGUGGAGGCUCGUAGAUGUGCUGACGUGCAAAUCGCUUUUCGGACUUGGGUAUAGGGGCGAAAGACUAAUCGAACCAUCUAGUAGCUGGUUCCCUCCGAAGUUUCCCCCAGGAUAGCUGGAGCUCGUUUCAGUCGACUCGGGUAAAGCGAAUGAUUAGAGGCUCAGGGGAUGAAACAUCCUCGACCUAUUCUCAAACUUUAAAUAGGGUCGUUGUCUGGGUUGCUUAAUUGAACCCAGGCCUUUAGAUGAGAGCUCCAAGUGGGCCAUUUUUGGUAAGCAGAACUGGCGAUGCGGGAUGAACCGAUAGCUGAGUUAAGGCGCCAAACUGCGCGCUAACCUAGAUCCCACAAAGGGUGUUGAUUGAUAUAGACAGCAGGACGGUGGUCAUGGAAGUCGAAAUCCGCUAAGGAGUGUGUAACAACUCACCUGCCGAAUCAAUUAGCCCCGAAAAUGGAUGGCGCUGAAGCGCGCGGCCUAUACUCAGCCAUGGGGACAAGUGCGAGGUCCCCAUGAGUAGGAGGGCGUGGGUGUCGU
rnacentral:rRNA from 1 species